UACGUAGGGGGCAAGCGUUGUCCGGAAUCAUUGGGCGUAAAGAGCGCGUAGGCGGCCCUGUAAGUCCGCUGUGAAAGUCAAGGGCUCAACCCUGGAAAGCCGGUGGAUACUGUCGGGCUAGAGUCCGGAAGAGGCGAGUGGAAUUCCUGGUGUAGCGGUGGAAUGCGCAGAUAUCAGGAGGAACACCGAUGGCGAAGGCGCCACUCUGGGCCGAAACUGACGCUGAGGAGCGAAAGCGUGGGUAGCAAACAGG
rnacentral:rRNA from 1 species